GGGGGUGAAUUUUUGGUUUCGACAGGGUUAGAGAUGCAUUAGACGGCAUGUCGUGAUCCCAAAGUCACGUAAAACGUUGGAAACAAAACAAUAACUGGCGAAUAUAACUACGCCUUAGCAGCUUAAUUUAAGCUGCCGUUCAUUGCCGGUAUUCACGCCGUCCGGUAAAUGAGCGACGUUUAGGUGUGAUAGCAAAACUUUUUCUCCCUGAAUAGUUUUGCGAAACUUUUGGGAUGGCUUAAUAUGAAUUUUGUUUAUGGUAUAGUAUUAAGCGACAUUAAAAAUAAACUAUAUAUGUAGAAGUCUUUUGAAGCUUAGCUUUGGACGCGGGUUCGACCCCCGCCACCUCCACAA
rnacentral:tmRNA from 1 species